ensembl:lncRNA
CUCCAUUAUGGCUCUAAUUUCAUAGUGGUAGUGGGUUGGUAGAUGUCUAGUCUCCUUUAUGGCUCUAAUCUGAUAGUGGUAGUGGGGUGGUAGAUGUCUAGUCUCCAUUAUGGCUCUAAUCUGAUAGUGGUAGAUGUCUAGUCUCCAUUAUGGCUCUAAUCUGAUAGUGGUAGUGGGGUGGUAGAUGUCUAGCCUCCUUUAUGGCUCUAAUCUGAUAGUGGUAGAUGUCUAGUCUCCUUUAUGGCUCUAAUCUGAUCGUGGGUGGGGUGGUAGAUGUCUAUUCUCCUUUAUGGCUCUAAUCUGAUAGUGGUUGAUGUCUAGUCUCCAUUAUGGCUCUAAUCUGAUAGUGGUAGAUGUCUAGUCUCAAUUAUGGCUCUAAUCUGAUAGUGGGAGUGGGGUGGUAGAUGUCUAGUCUCCAUUAUGGCUCUAAUUUCAUAGUGGUAGUGGGUUGGUAGAUGUCUAGUCUCCUUUAUGGCUCUAAUCUGACAGUGGUAGUGGGGUGGUAGAUGUCUAGUCUCCCUUUUGGCUCUAAUCUGAUCGUGGGGUGGGGUGGUAGAUUAUCUAGUCUCCUUUAUGGCUCUAAUCUGAUAGUGGUAUGGUAGUGGGUUGGUAGAUGUCUAGUCUCCUUUAUGGCUCUAAUCUGACAGUGGUAGUGGGGUGGUAGAUGUCUAGUCUCCAUUUUGGCUCUAAUCUGAUCGUGGGGUGGGGUGGUAGAUUAUCUAGUAGAUGUAGUAGAUGUCUAGUCUCCUUUAUGGCUCUAAUCUGAUAGUGGUAGUGGGGUGGUAGAUGUCUAGUCUCCUUUAUGGCUCUAAUCUGAUAGUGGUAGUGGGGUGGUAGAUGUCUAGUCUCCAUUAUGGCUCUAAUCUGAUAGUGGUAGUGGGGUGGUAGAUGUCUAGUCUCCUUUAUGGCUCUAAUCUGAUAGUAGUAGAUGUCUAGUCUUCAUUAUGGCUCUAAUCUGAUAGUGGGGUGGUAGAUGUCUAGUCUCCAUUAUGGCUCUAAUUUGAUAGUGGUAGUGGGUUGGUAGAUGUCUAGUCUCCUUUAUGGCUCUAAU